GUGCCAGCCGCCGCGGUAAUACGAAGGGGGCUAGCGUUGUUCGGAAUUACUGGGCGUAAAGCGCGCGCAGGCGGUCUUCCAAGUCAGUGGUGAAAGCCCGGAGCUCAACUCCGGAACUGCCAUUGAAACUGUUAGACUUGAGGACGAGAGAGGUGAGUGGAAUUCCCAGUGUAGAGGUGAAAUUCGUAGAUAUUGGGAAGAACACCGGUGGCGAAGGCGGCUCACUGGCUCGUAUCUGACGCUCAGGCGCGAUAGCGUGGGGAUCAAACAGGAUUAGAUACCCUGGUAGUCCACGCCGUAAACGAUGAAUGCUAGCCGUUGGGUAGCUUGCUAUUCAGUGGCGCAGCUAACGCAUUAAGCAUUCCGCCUGGGGAGUACGGCCGCAAGGUUGAAACUCAAAUGAAUUGGCGG
rnacentral:rRNA from 1 species